GCCAUGCAUAAAGGGAACACAAUAUCUGGCAAGAGAGACUUUCCAACCCACCGGAGAAAAGCAUAAAAACAACAAACUAAAGCCAAAAUGAAGAUAAAAAUAGGAUAUCCAUUUUUAAAAAGGAGGAGUGACUUUUUAUAGGAAGAGCCUGAGGAACUGGUGCGUUCUACCUCUCUUGAAGUCGUCUGAUCUAAUUUAAGCUCUGUCUUGGAAGAUAGAUGUUAGCUAAACACAACUUAUUGGCCUCGUUACAGGCCUGUGUGUGUGAAAUUCUGUGGCCUUCAAGUCCAGGUGAGGAGAUUCCCUCUCCAAAUACCAACCCAACAACUGCGGGUUCCUCCUGUGCCGGCUGGGUCUGAGCUGGAAAUGUUCUACAACACGUCAUAAAUACAACUGCAAAUCACGAGGAAUGCGUUGCCACAGAGAAAAACUUCACUAAAACGUCAGGCUCCCUCGCUGGCUGCGACGGUGGCCGCAGCGCCGUGCCACGGGCCUUUCAGUAACCAUCACCGUGAUGAAGAAGGAUGCAAGGAAAUCUGCAGGAUGUGCAUAGCUGACGACCUCAAGCAGCAGCACGAGCAGUGGGACAGAGGACCUUCUGUUAGGACAGGUACAUUAGAGAUCCUUGAUGAGGCGAGUGGUGGGAAAAGAGACAACAGAACCUGCCCAGUAAUGUCAGCAAGAGCAGGAGCUGCACAAAGGAGAGCUUGAUGCUGCAGAACUUCAGGUAUAAAAAACAAACAAAACCUACACACUCAGAGAGCUCAGACCUGGCUGCCUCUUACAGAAGUGAGCCACAGUGUACCCAUCAUCUGAGGAUGCCUCUGUGUGCUAUCCCCAUGCAAAACCCCUAUCUGCAUCCUAAAGGGGGAGCUGCAGGAACCACUACUGCUCCAGACGUGGACUGGUGAUAAAAAAUUUACCUUCACAAGAGCCAGAAAGAAGGAUAAUGGAUAAAAGAACAGAAAACCCAGCUUAGUAAUUUUUCAGCUACUCAAGAACAAACCAAAGUACCAGAUAAAACCCAACUGUCCUUUAAAGCUUGGCUCGUUUGCUGUAAGCCAUGCAGUUGCUCUCUAAAACAUCACGUGCAAAAAACAGUACAUGAAACAUCAUGUCUUUGUGGUGUGAGUAAGAAUCAGGGGCAAGGGUUUAUUGGGAUUUCUAGGUUAGGCAGAAAUGGAUGUGUGAUCUGCUCUCUAAACUGAAGUAAACAGGGAACGUCUUGAACAAUUACGACAGUGGUUUGGCUCUUCUGUUUUUGUAGUCCUUUAU
rnacentral:lncRNA from 1 species